AGCAGUAGCCGCGGGAAUACGAAGGGGGCUAGCGUUGCUCGGAAUCACUGGGCGUAAAGGGUGCGUAGGCGGGUCUUUAAGUCAGGGGUGAAAUCCUGGAGCUCAACUCCAGAACUGCCUUUGAUACUGAAGAUCUUGAGUUCGGGAGAGGUGAGUGGAACUGCGAGUGUAGAGGUGAAAUUCGUAGAUAUUCGCAAGAACACCAGUGGCGAAGGCGGCUCACUGGCCCGAUACUGACGCUGAGGCACGAAAGCGUGGGGAGCAAACAGGAUUAGAUACCCCAGUAGUCCCUGUCUCUUAUAC
rnacentral:rRNA from 1 species